AUUGAACGCUGGCGGCAUGCCUUACACAUGCAAGUCGAACGGCAGCACGGGGGCAACCCUGGUGGCGAGUGGCGAACGGGUGAGUAAUACAUCGGAACGUGUCCUAUCGUGGGGGAUAACUAGUCGAAAGACUAGCUAAUACCGCAUGAGAUUGAGAGAUGAAAGCAGGGGACCGCAAGGCCUUGCGCGAUUGGAGCGGCCGAUGUCGGAUUAGCUAGUUGGCGGGGUAAAAGCCCACCAAGGCGACGAUCCGUAGCUGGUUUGAGAGAACGACCAGCCACACUGGGACUGAGACACGGCCCAGACUCCUACGGGAGGCAGCAGUGGGGAAUUUUGGGACAAUGGGGGAAACCCUGAUCCAGCCAUGCCGCGUGUGUGAAGAAGGCC
rnacentral:rRNA from 1 species